GUGCUCACUUCAGCAGCACAUAUACUAAAACUGGAUGAAUACAGAGUAGGUUGCAUGGCCCCAGCGCAAGGAUGACAUGCAAAUUCAUGAAGCGUUCCAUAUUUUG
ensembl:snRNA U6 U6 spliceosomal RNA